rnacentral:rRNA from 1 species
UACGAAGGGGGCUAGCGUUGCUCGGAAUCACUGGGCGUAAAGCGCACGUAGGCGGAUUGCUAAGUCAGGGGUGAAAUCCUGGAGCUCAACUCCAGAACUGCCUUUGAUACUGAGGAUCUCGAGUCCGGGAGAGGUGAGUGGAACUCCGAGUGUAGAGGUGAAAUUCGUAGAUAUUCGGAAGAACACCAGUGGCGAAGGCGGCUCACUGGCCCGGUACUGACGCUGAGGUGCGAAAGCGUGGGGAGCAAACAGGG